UACAGAGGUCUCAAGCGUUGUUCGGAUUCAUUGGGCGUAAAGCGUGCGUAGGCGGUUUAGUGUGUGGGAAUUGAAAGCCCGGGGCUCAACUCCGGAUCCGGUUCCCAAACUGCUAGACUCGAGAGUAUCAGAGGAGAGCGGAAUUCCCGGUGUAGCGGUAAUAUGCGUAGAUAUCGGGAGGAACACCAGUGGCGAAGGCGGCUCUCUGGGGUAUUUCUGACGCUGAGGCACGAAAGCCAGGGGAGCGAACGGG
rnacentral:rRNA from 1 species